rnacentral:rRNA from 1 species
CGUCUAUAUACGUAUAGCAUAUCAAUAAGCGGAGGAAAAGAAACUAACUAGGAUUCCCUCAGUAACGGCGAGUGAAGCGGGAAGAGCUCAAAUUUGAAAUCUUCAAGGUUUUACCUUGACGAAUUGUAGUUUAAAGAAGUGUUUUCUGUUGGAGUUUUGGUAAAAGUUCUUUGGAAAAGGACAUCAUGGAGGGUGAGAAUCCCGUACUGACCAUUUAUUCCAGCUCUGUGAUACACUUUCAAAGAGUCGGAUUGUUUGGGAAUGCAGUCCAAAAUGGGUGGUAAAUUUCAUCUAAAGCUAAAUAUUGGCGAGAGACCGAUAGCGAACAAGUACCGUGAGGGAAAGAUGAAAAGAACUUUGAAAAGAGAGUUAAACAGUACGUGAAAUUGUCAAAAGGGAAGCGUUUGACACCAGUGUUGUUUUCUCGAAAAUCAAUUAAAAAUGGCUGGAUUUUGUGUGUAUGCGACCUUUAUCAGCGUUUCUGCAUCUCUUUUCUUGUCCUUUUUAAUGCACUUUUCGUUUAACAAGUCAACAUCAAUUUCUUUUGUUGUAAAAGAGGUCAUUGGAAGGUGGCUUUCUUUUCGGAGAAAGUGUUUAUAGUCCUUUGGCUUCUGCAAUCGGAGAGAUUGAGGUCUGCAGCGUAGAUCCUUCGGGGUUAGAUACACUUGUGCUAAGUUAUAGCCUUUCAUAGACAACUUGUUGACUAUGAUUAGUCAUGUCGCUUACUCGCUUAUGCUAUUUUACCUACGCUUAGGAUGUUGAAGUCAUCGUAUCGCGC